rnacentral:rRNA from 1 species
GUUACUCCUACGGGAGGCAGCAGUGGGGAAUAUUGCACAAUGGGCGCAAGCCUGAUGCAGCGACGCCGCGUGAGGGAUGACGGCCUUCGGGUUGUAAACCUCUUUCACCCAUGACGAAGCGCAAGUGACGGUAGUGGGAGAAGAAGCACCGGCCAACUACGUGCCAGCAGCCGCGGUAAUACGUAGGGUGCGAGCGUUGUCCGGAAUUACUGGGCGUAAAGAGCUCGUAGGCGGUUUGUCGCGUCGUCUGUGAAAUCCCGCAGCUCAACUGCGGGCUUGCAGGCGAUACGGGCAGACUCGAGUACUGCAGGGGAGACUGGAAUUCCUGGUGUAGCGGUGAAAUGCGCAGAUAUCAGGAGGAACACCGGUGGCGAAGGCGGGUCUCUGGGCAGUAACUGACGCUGAGGAGCGAAAGCGUGGGUAGCGAACAGGAUUAGAUACCCUGGUAGUCCACGCCGUAAACGGUGGGCGCUAGGUGUGGGUUUCCUUCCACGGGAUCCGUGCCGUAGCCAACGCAUUAAGCGCCCCGCCUGGGGAGUACGGCCGCAAGGCUAAAACUCAAAGGAAUUGACGGGGGCCCGCACAAGCGGCGGAGCAUGUGGAUUGAUUCGAUGCAACGCGAAGAACCUUACCUGGGUUUGACAUGUACCGGACGACUGCAGAGAUGGGUUUUCCCCU